rnacentral:rRNA from 1 species
UGCAAGUCGAACGGUAACAGCACUUCGGUGGCUGACGAGUGGCGAACGGGUGAGUAAUACAUCGGAACGUGCCCGAGAGUGGGGGAUAACGCAGCGAAAGCUGUGCUAAUACCGCAUACGAUCUACGGAUGAAAGCAGGGGACCGCAAGGCCUUGCGCUCAUGGAGCGGCCGAUGGCAGAUUAGGUAGUUGGUGGGAUAAAAGCUUACCAAGCCGACGAUCUGUAGCUGGUCUGAGAGGACGACCAGCCACACUGGGACUGAGACACGGCCCAGACUCCUACGGGAGGCAGCAGUGGGGAAUUUUGGACAAUGGGCGAAAGCCUGAUCCAGCCAUGCCGCGUGCAGGAUGAAGGCCUUCGGGUUGUAAACUGCUUUUGUACGGAACGAAAAGGUCUUUUCUAAUAAAGAAGGCUCAUGACGGUACCGUAAGAAUAAGCACCGGCUAACUACGUGCCAGCAGCCGCGGUAAUACGUAGGGUGCAAGCGUUAAUCGGAAUUACUGGGCGUAAAGCGUGCGCAGGCGGUUAUAUAAGACAGAUGUGAAAUCCCCGGGCUCAACCUGGGAACUGCAUUAGUGACUGUAUAGCUAGAGUGCGGCAGAGGGGGAUGGAAUUCCGCGUGUAGCAGUGAAAUGCGUAGAUAUGCGGAGGAACACCGAUGGCGAAGGCAAUCCCCUGGGCCUGCACUGACGCUCAUGCACGAAAGCGUGGGGAGC